rnacentral:rRNA from 1 species
GAUGAACGCUGGCGGCGUGCCUAAUACAUGCAAGUCGAGCGAACAGACGAGGAGCUUGCUCCUCUGACGUUAGCGGCGGACGGGUGAGUAACACGUGGAUAACCUACCUAUAAGACUGGGAUAACUUCGGGAAACCGGAGCUAAUACCGGAUAAUAUAUUGAACCGCAUGGUUCAAUAGUGAAAGACGGUUUUGCUGUCACUUAUAGAUGGAUCCGCGCCGCAUUAGCUAGUUGGUAAGGUAACGGCUUACCAAGGCAACGAUGCGUAGCCGACCUGAGAGGGUGAUGGCCAACAGGGAAACUGAGACAGGUCCCAGCCCCAGAGGGGGGGCAGCGGGAGGAAUUUUCCAGAAAGGGGGGAAGUUUGGAGGGGCCAACGCGGGGGGAGUGAGAAGGUUCUGCGAAUCGAAAACUUUUUUUUUGGGGAAAAAAAAAAUGUGAAAGUACCAAGGCAGGUUUGGAGGGAACUAAUACAAAAAGCCAGGCCAAACAGGGU